rnacentral:rRNA from 1 species
GACGAACGCUGGCGGCGUGCUUAACACAUGCAAGUCGAACGGAAAGGCCCUGCUUUUGUGGGGUUCUCGAGUAGCGAACGGGUGCGUAACACGUGAGUAACCUGCCCUUGACUUUGGGAUAACUUCAGGAAACUGGGGCUAAUACCGUAUAGGAGCUCCUGCUGCGUGGUGGGGGUGGGAAAGUUUCGGCGGUCGGGGUUGGACUCGCGGCUUAUCAGCUUGUUGGUGGGGUAGUGGCUUACCAAGGCUGUGACGGGUAGCCGGCCUGAGAGGGUGACCGGCCACAUUGGGACUGAGGUACGGACCAGAGGCGUACGGGAGGCAGCAGUGGGAAAUCUUGCACAAUGGGCGCAAGCCUGAUGAAGAAACGCUGCGUGCGGGAUGACGGCCUUCGGGUUGUAAACCGCUUUCGCCUGUGACGCAGCGUGAGUGACGGUAAUGGGUAAAGAAGCACCGGCUAACUACGUG